GAUGGUUGUGUUUGUGUUUUUUGGAAAUUCUGGUUCCAAGUCCAUGGAGCCCAGAGCUGCUCUCAGCAAAGCCGUCGACGAGGCUUCAAAAUUGGCGGGAAAACAGCAGUACGAGAAACGUGCACAAAAUGUAGGUGAGCCCAAAUGGGGGAUGCUUUUUCUGACUUCUCACAGAGAGUCGGACAGAGACGGAGGGUUUAUUGGGGGUUUUCAAGUUUUUUUUUUUUUUUUGAAAGGGUUUUUCAAGUAAUUGUAACAUUAAUUUCUCUAUGCGACCGUCACACCACGCUAACAUAUUUUCCAUGUCAGUCGUUACAUGUUUGACGUGUCGCUUGUUACGUGUUAUAAUUUGGAUGGAUUAAUGAAUGACAUACAAAAUUUGUCAUAAAACAACCUUUUUUAUUUUAAUGAUGAUAAGUUGCAAUAACGGUCACCUCACAAUUAUAUACCGUGUUCGAUUUCAAUUUCGCUCGUUUGUAAAAGAAAAACGGCACGAAGAUGUAUGGUCUUCGAGAUCACUUACCUUGAAUAUCAACUAUAUGAAUAUAAAGUACAUUUAAAUGAAGCACUCGGUUAUAGGACUCUAUUGCUCCACCACUAAAGACAGUUAAACAAAGCUAGCCAACCAAAAAAAGCACAAAGAUAGCGAACGAGCUAAACUUGAGGAGGAGGAGAAGCGAAACUGCAGAACCUUCAUAUUUUCACUUCCGUCCGUCCAUAGUGAUUUCGCGAUAGCUAGCUAACCAUUAC
rnacentral:lncRNA from 1 species